rnacentral:tRNA from 4 species
GCGGGUGUAGUUCAGUGGUAGAAUGUCUGCUUCCCAAGCAGAAGAUCGCCGGUUCGAUCCCGGUCACCCGCUCCA